rnacentral:rRNA from 1 species
UGGGGAAUUUUGGACAAUGGGGGCAACCCUGAUCCAGCAAUGCCGCGUGAGUGAAGAAGGCCUUCGGGUUGUAAAGCUCUUUUACUUGGGAGGAAAAGUUGUAUGCCAAUAACAUGCAAUCAUGACAGUACCAAGAGAAUAAGCGCCGGCUAACUAUGUGCCAGCAGCCGCGGUAAUACAUAGGGCGCAAGCGUUAAUCGGAAUUAUUGGGCGUAAAGAAUUUGUAGGCUGUUGUGUAAGUUGGUUGUGAAAUCCCUGGGCUUAACCUAGGAAUUGCGACCAGGACUACAUGGCUAGAGUAUGUAAGAGGAGAGUGGAAUUCCUGGUGUAGCAGUGAAAUGCAUAGAUAUCAGGAGGAACACCAGUGGCGAAGGCGACUCUCUGGGACAAUACUGACGCUGAGAAAUGAAAGCGUGGGGAGCAAACAGG